UUCCUACAAACAAAACAAAGAUAAGAAAUUUCUAUGUGUUUUCUUCGGUAGCAAGCUUAUCCACAAUUAAUGUCAUCUUACUAUGAAAUUCGAAGCAUCUUCCAACCAACGUCGAAAUUAAUGGUCAUAGACUCAUACGUGUUCUAUAUAUCUAAUGAAUCAGAUUUAUGGUUACGUCAAAGAACAUAAAAAGCCAAUGGGCUGAGGUCGUGUACAUAUAUUUAUAAAACAUCUUUAUUUUACUACUUUUGUUAAAUUCUUCUUCUUCUUCAGCUGGAAAAAUAUGGAAAAUGGCGGUUUGAUCUCCGGUAAUAGGCCGGUGAUCAUGGUUACGAAUGACGACGGCAUUGGUGCCUCGGGAUCGCUAGCUCUGGUUCAAGUUCUAGUCUCGGCUAGUCGCUAUGUUGUUCAAGUUUGUGCACCUGACUCGGGCUCUAGUGGAUUGUGUUUCUUUAGGAAUCUCUAAAGCACUUUUUCUUUCAGUCCCCGAUCUGGUAUUUUUUUUUAAUUUUCGUGUUAAUUAACAAGCAUAUUACCUUAUAACUAAUAUCAACUUCGUUUUCAGUUAUUUUUAUCUUUUGGAAUUAUUUCACAAAUACACAAAAAUAACAAAAAAAUUACAAAAAUAUGAUUUAAUUGAAUUUUAAACAUUUUUACAAUUUUUUUUGAUUUUAUUUACAGAAAAUACGGUCUUUUUAUUUUGUACUCAUGUUAAUUUUUUGUUGUUGUUUUGAUGUUAUUUGGAUGUUAUUUUCUUGUUAGUUUUAUGUAGUUUUUUUGUUGUUUUCAUGUUGUUUCUGUGGAAAACCAUAAAAAUGUAAAAAGAAUUCUUUAAACGUAAAAUUAUAAUUUUUUCUACAAAAAAUAAUACCUUAUGUAAUUUCUUUUGGCUACUAAUUAUGGUGCAUCGACUGUUAUAUUAUUUUAUAUAUAUAAUGUUUAGAUUAAAUAAUUAAGUGUGAUAAAUUAUUAUGAUGUCAAAUUGUAACAUAUAUUAUAAAGUUACAAAAUGUGUGUAGAAUGAUCAUAAAAUAGGAGUUGCAAAUCCUUUAAUUUGAUGAUAACUUGAAUAUGUAAAUUUACUUCUUUUUUUUUUUUGCCUUUAAAUUAGUAAAAGAUCUUACUAAUUGUUUAUGAAUGAUAACUAUUGAAAAUAUAGCUGUUGGAGACUUGAUUUAUUCAUUUAUAAAGUGUAUAAAUGAAUCAAAAUCAAGUGAAAGUGAUUUGAAACAUUUUGGAAAAGAAUCGGUCAAAGUUGAUAAAAUAGUAACUAGUAACUACUUACUUUUUUUAACAUACAAGUGCAUACGUUUUUUAAAGUAUGGGAGUCUUUUUAACAACCCAAAACUCAUCCAAAUCACCCAAUUAACACUGUAAACGGCCAAUUUAUAAUUGGCAACAUCCAAUGGUUUUAUGGUGGUCAUUUUUGUUCAUAUGGGAGUAAAAACUCUAUAAAUAGAUAUCAUAUUGCUCACUUGUGAGAGAUGUAGUUGAAAUUAUUUGUUGUGGCUAGAAUUUUGUGAUGAUAUGUUCAUCCUUAGACACUAUGAUGAGCAUAUAAGGCUUGAUAAAUCCUUAAGAGCAUUUCUAGAGUUUUCCUAAGUGUCCAUAUGAUGGAGGAAAUGACUUUUAGGACAAAGGCCCUUGGGUCUUGGUCAAGCUUAUUGCGUGCUAUUCUUCUUUUUCUCUAGCUUUUUUGUAAUCUUGAUGUAAUAUUUUUAUUUGUAAUUUGAGUAUUUUGAUUCUAAUCUUCCUAUUCCCUCUUGUAAUGAGAACAUUUUCCAACAAUCUAAAAGUCAUUUUGAUGGCAUAUUCUUCUUUCUAAAAGACUUGUCAUGGAGGUCAUACAAUCAAACAAAGUUAUCCAUGAGGGAGAGCAUCAAUUAGGAUCAUGAGAAAAAAAUAUGUGAUAAGAGAUUCAAGCCAUCCAUGGGUAAGCAUGGUGGAUUUAUUUUGUGAUAUACUAUUUAUUUGAUAUUAAUAUAUUAAUAUAUUCAUAUGAUGAGAUAUGAUAUUUUGGUAGAGAUUUUUUACAUGUUAAUAUAUAUGAUAGAUAUGUGUAUAUUAUAUUAUUAUAAAUAGAGAUAUAUAAAAUUAUAAUUGAGAUUAUAACAUAUUAGUAUAUGUAUAUAUAUGAGAGAAAUAUAUCUCAUAUAACAUGUGACAUAUGUGAGUUAUAUAUUGUUGAGAUUGAGAGAAUCAAGAAAUUGAGAGAAGUAAAGAACAAGAAGAGAAAGAAAAAGACUGAAUCAAGCUCAACCUCAAGUGAGGGAGGAGACUAUUAUUUAUGUAGAACAAUCAAAUAAAUAAUGUGACAGAAUUAGUUAGAAAACUAAUCAAAUAAGCUGUUAAACAACUUUUACAAUUAGUUACAAAGUAGUUUAAAAGACCAACUAACUAACUAAUAUACAAAGAAUAAUAAGUCCUAACACCCUCUAUCAAGUUACACUAGGAUUCCUAAGUGUUAACUUGGACCUAAAUUACUCAAAUUGUGGUAUAGGAAGAGGUUUGGUGAGAAGGUCUACCAUUUGAUGUUCAACAGAGAUGUGUCUUAUGUCAAGCUAAUUUGCAAGAACACGUGUAACGUCCCCGCUUCAAGCCUCCAUUGGGUCCUUACACCCACGAAAUAAUGACUCUUAUACACGAGUACAUCACUCUGGCUGCUUCAUGGACAGAUGACUGACCCUACAGACCAACACAAGUGUUUCUAGCGUGCUUUGUCCUCACUCACAUGCUUCCUGGAAAAACUUCCCAGGAGGUCACCCAUCCUAAAAUUACCCCAGGUCAAGCACGCUUAACUGUGGAGUUCUUUCGAGAUGGGCUACCGAAAAACAAGAUACACCUUGUUGAUAUAGGUAGUACCAAUCAAUCCAUUUAAGCCCUCUUCAACUGUGUAGCUCAUACCUACACAGUCUCAGAAUCAUCCCACUUGACCUUCUCCAAGCGAUGUGGGAUUGCACAGCUUACCCGGUAUUUCCCCUUACGGAUCACGGGACUACUGACUGUCACAAUCACCCCCUUACGGGGUUCGACGUCCUCGUCGACCACACUUCCGGCUGGGUCAAGGCUCUGAUACCAUUUGUAACGUCCUCGCUUCAAGCCUCUAUUGGGUCCUUACACCCAUGGAAUGAAUGAAUCUUAUACACGAGUACGCCACUCUGGCUGCUUCCUAGAUUGAUGACUGACCCUACAGACCAACACGAGUGUUUCCAGUGUGCUUUGAAGAAAGUGUGGUCGACGAGGACAUCAAACCCCAUAAGGGGGUGAUUGUGAGAGUCAGUAGUCCCGUGAUCCGUAAGGGGAAACACCGGGUUAGCUGUGCAAUUGCACACCGCCUGGGAAGGUCAAGUGGGAUGAUUCUGAGACUGUGUAGGUAUGAGACUGCACAGUUGAAGAGAGCUUAAAUGGAUUUAUUGGUACUACCUAUAUUAACAAGGUGCAUCUUGUUUUUCGGUGGCCCAUCUCGAAAUGCUUGACCUGGAGUAAUUUCAGGAUGGGUGACCUCUUGAGAAGUUUUUGUUGGGUUUUAUGCCCUAAAUAAAACUCCAUUUCAAUGUAAUCUAUUUUAUUCAACAUCAAUAAAGAAACAAAAGUAUUUUUCAUUCAUUUGUGUAUGUUUUGGUUCAUCUUAUCAAUUGCUUGUCUAUUUGAUUUAUAAAUUCAUCUAAAACCCUUUUCACAUACUUGAUCCUGUAUAUUGUGUUGUCAACAUAUUGGAAAGUAAACAUGACUAUGUGAAUAAAGUUUUCUAGAUUUAUUAGACACAGGGUUUUACUGAUAUGAUAAUCUACAACAGAGUUUACUUGCAUUUGGAGAAAUGCUAGUUCUUUCCAGAGCAUUGGUUAAAGUAAAGCUCAGGUUGGAUGCAUGGAGUAUGCAUCGGAAGGGACCGAUAUUGAACUUUGACUUAGAUUUAUUAAACUUACCGUAAUAUCUAUUCAAGUCAAUAUCGCCUAGUUGAUCCUAGAUCAAAUGAUCUUAAUCCUGUUAUGAUUAGGCUCAAUCUCAAGAGGUUAUUCGUGUUCUUUGAUUUGUUAGUUAAGCCUAAUUUUGGGUUAGGAUGAUACGUACAUUUUGGGAACACGGUAGUGCAAUUGAGUGGGAGCGCUAACAUAAACAUGGAAUCUAUAGCUUCUAUCUGGCGAAUAUAAGUAAAGGAUGAUCUCCUUCGAGCUUGACUAAACGAAAAUAAAUGAUGGAGUACUCAUUUCACAUAAGCUGAAAUAUCAUUUAUACGGGGUUAAGUGUUUUAAGGAUAAAAUACAUUGUAGGGUGUAACGGUAAUCUAAUCCCUUUACAGUGUAGAUCAUUCAUAUAGAGGAUCAUUGAUCAAAUUAGGAUUAUAACAAUGGAUAACUAAUGAUGUGUCUAUAUGGUGGAACGUAUAGAGCAUUCUAUAUACUGAGAGUGCAAUUCUAAGUUCUAUGCGUGGAUUCAACGAAGAAUUAAUAAGUCAGUGAAUUUAGGUUAUAAAUUCUUGAUCUGCUUAUUGGAAGCUCGGUUAUAUAGACCCAUGGUCCCCCCACUAGUUGAGAUAAUAUUGCUUGUAAGACUCAUAUAAUUGGUUUUGAUUAAUCAAUUAUAAUUCUCAAAUUAGACUAUGUAUAUUUGUGAAUUUUUUCACUAAGUAAGGGCGAAAUUGUAAAGAAAGAGUUUUUAGGGCAUAUUUGUUAAUUAUGAUACUCUGUAUGGUUCAAUUAAUAAAUAUGAUAAAUGACAAUAUUAUUUAAUAAUUAUUUAUAAUUAUUAAAUAGUUAGAAUUGGCAUUUAAAUAGUUGAAUUUGAAAAUUGGCGUUUUUGAGAAAAUGAGAUGCAGAAAUGAUAAAACGGCAAAAUUGCAAAAAGUGAGGCCCAAAUCCACAUUGCCUAGGCCGGCCACUUUUAUAGGCUUUAUCAUCUGAUAUUUUCAUUAUUUUAAUGUCAAAUAAUUCAAACCUAACCCUAGUGGAAGGCUAUAAAUAGAUAGUGAAGGCUUCAGGAAAAUUACACUUUCAUUCAAAAAGAAAAACCUGAGCCUUCUCUUUCUAAAACCCUAGCCGCCACUUUAAACUCUCUUCUUCCCUCUUGAAUUUCGAACCAUUUAGUGAUUAGAGUAGUGCCCACACACAGCAAGUGAUACCUCAAUCAUAGUGAGGCAGAUCGUGAAGAAAGACUUUCAACAAGAAGGAGUUUCAGCACUAAAGAAGGAGAGAAAGAGAUCCAGGUUCAGAUCUUGAUAAUACUCUGCGACAGAAAGGAUACAAGGGUUAGAGAUCUGAACGGAAGGAGUCAUAUUAUUCCGCUGCACCCAAUGUAAGGUUUCUAAUACUUUAUAUGUGUUUAUUUCAUGAUCGUUUUAGAAGUUCAUAUUUAGGGUGUUAAUCAACAUACUUGUGAGUAGAUCUAAGAUCCUGGUAAAAUAAUUUCCAACAGUUUUCUUGGGAAGCGUGCGAGUGAGGACAAAGCACGCUGGAAACACUCGUGUUGGUCUGCAGGGUCAAUCAUCAGUCCAUGAAGCAGCCAGAGUGACGUACUCGUUUAUAAGAGCCAUUCAUUCAGUGGGUGUAAGGACCCAAUGGAGGCUUGAGGCGGGGACGUUACAAAUGGUAUCAAAGCCUUGACCCAGCUGGAAGUGUGGUCGACGAGGACGUCAAACCCCGUAAGGGGGGGGUGAUUGUGACAGUCAGUAGUCCCGUGAUCCGUAAGGGGAAAUACCGGGUAAGCUGUGCAAUCCCACAUCGCCUGGGGAAGGUCAAGUGGGAUGAUUCUGAGACUGUGUAGGUAUGGGACUACACAGUUGAAGAGGGCUUAAAUAGAUUGAUUGGUACUACCUAUAUCAACAAGGUGCAUCUUGUUUUU